AGACUUCUGGCAGGGGAGACACCAUGAUCAGGCAGGUGGUUUCCCAGGGCGAGGCUCAUCCCCUGCGCUCCGGGUGUGCUGACCCCUGCGAUCUCCCCAAAUGCGGGAAACUCGACUGCAUAAUUUGGGGUAGUGGGGGACUGCGUUCACGCUCUCCCCUG
rnacentral:snRNA from 1 species